rnacentral:rRNA from 1 species
CCUACGGGAGGCUGCAGUGGGGAAUAUUGGGCAAUGGAGGAAACUCUGACCCAGCAAUGCCGCGUGAAUGUCGAAGGUCUUCGGAUUGUAAAGUUCUUUAGUCAGGGAAGAAUAAAAUGACGGUACCUGAAGAAUACGCUCCGGCUCACUACGUGCAAGCAGCCGCGGUAAUACGUAGGGGGCAAGCGAUGUGCGGAAUGACUGGGUGUCAAGGGUGCGUAUGCGGUUAUACAAGUUAGAAGUGAAAUACCCAGGGCUUAACUGGGGUGGUGCUACUAAAACGGUAAGGCUUGAGUGCAGUAGAGGUUAGAGGAAUUCGUGGUGUAGCGGUGGAAUGCGUAGAUAUCAGGAGGAACA